CCCACCAUAGUCCAGCGGUAACCCCGCCCGCCCCGGAGUAAAAUCCGGAAGCGGGCAAGUAGAGGUUCGAUUCCUCUCGGUGGCA